rnacentral:lncRNA from 1 species
UUUAUAGUGUGAGGGUGCUGAAAAAUAGGUGGGAAAAUUCAAAUGAAACUCAUUUGAAAUUCCCACAAAAAACAAGUCACAUGGGAGGUGUGACCUUUUUCUACUAUGACACCUCCUAAAAACUACACCUACACCUACUCUCCUAAGUCACAUGGACAAUGUGACUUUAUUUUACAUAUUCACACUCCUUUAUUUAAUAUCCACACCUCCUACAACUAUACAAGAGUAAUUCAAAUGAUGCUCUUUUAUUUAAUGCUUGGCCUUG